UGAACUAGCUCACCCUCAAAUGAUUGUGCCUCAUCUGAAAAAACAUAGGCAACAAGACAAAAGCUAAUUUCAGGACAAAUAGAGCAGUGCAAGGAUGGCUAAUGGCGCAUUGUCCCUUCAGGUUCUUCCACUGAUCCUUUUCUUAGGGAACACACAUUUGUGCACCUCCUGGUUCUCCCUGACCGACUUGCUGAAUGACGAGGCUGCCGAUGACUACGAGUACUAUGAUGAGCACACGCAGGCAGAGGAGGACCUCUUCCACCAGACACAGACCUUGGAGGACCCUGACUGGUUCGAGGAUUUCUUUGGCUACAGCGACACCCAGCAAGCUGAUCCAUGCUCCUCUGAUCCCUGCAAGAACAAUGGGCAAUGUGAGAAGAGAGGAAGCAGCUUCAGCUGUGUCUGCCCCAAGCCAUACACCGGGACUACCUGCGAGAAAGUGAGGGACAUGUGUCUGGAGAAGAGCUGCAUCAGAGGAGACUGCCUUGUUACACUAACCCCACCUUACUCUCAGUGCAGCUGCAGUCAUCCCUACAAGUUACCAGACUGCCACCGCGCAUCUUCACAAUGCAGGCCAAACCCGUGCAAGAAUGGAGGAACCUGCAUACGGCACAGAAACAGAUCAAAGUUCACCUGCAAGUGCCCUGAGCCAUUCAGAGGGAGGUUCUGUGAGAUUGGAUUGGAUGACUGUUAUGAAGAGGACUCCCUUGGGUACAGAGGAAAAGUGAACCAAGCAGAGAAUGGCAAGACCUGCCUGCACUGGAAUUCCCGUUUGCUCUUGGACCUCCCUAUUAAUGCAUUUAUGGAGGAUGCUGACUCUUAUGGCAUCGGUGAACAUAACUUCUGCAGGAAUCCUGAUGAGGAUCAAAAACCCUGGUGCUACAUCAGAAAAAAUAACGAAGUGGAGUGGGACUUCUGUGACAUUUCACCCUGCUCAGGAACAGCUCAGGAGAGCCAAUGGCCCACAGACAGCCUAGCAGACCCAAGUGGAACAAAUUCAAUAUUCAAAACAUGUGGACAACCAGAAGGUCAGAGGGCACUCAAGAGGAUCUAUGCUGGAGUUAAAACUACAGCUGGCAAACAUCCCUGGAUGGUGUCUCUGCAGAGAAAGACUUCAAGAAGAAACACACAUUUCUGUGGUGGAGUGCUAAUUAAAUCGUGCUGGGUUCUUACUGCUGGACACUGCCUUACAGAGCCAGCGGAAAAUCUCCAAGUGGUCCUUGGAAAGCAAGACCUCAGGAAGAGGGAACAUCAAGAGCAAAUAUUUGAUGUGGAGAAGAUCAUCGUACAUCACAAAUACAGUGAGAAGGGUGGUGUCCCACACAACGAUAUUGCAUUACUGAAGUUGAAACCAGUUGAUGGUCACUGUGCCGUGGAAUCAAAGUAUGUGAAAACAGCGUGUCUGCCUAACUUCCACUUUCCCGUUGGGACUGACUGCUUCAUUUCAGGAUGGGGUGCAACAGAGACAGAUGAUAUAUCCCAUCAGCUGCUAGAUGCCAAUGUCAAGCUGAUUUCACAGAAGCAAUGCAAUGCACCCAGAGCAUAUGAUCAGCUACUGGAUGAAAGCAUGUUUUGUGCAGGAAAUCUUCAGAGACCCAGAGCUGAUUCUUGUCAGGGAGAUUCUGGAGGCCCUCUAACUUGUGUAGAAAAUGGCUCCUACUAUGUAUAUGGCCUUGUAAGCUGGGGUGAUCAGUGUGGGUUAAAAAACAAGCCAGGAGUUUAUACGCAGGUGACAACAUUUCUCAGUUGGAUUAAAUCCAAAAUUCAGUCGGAGUCAAGAUCACUUCAGUAGGAGACAGCUCUGGAAUGGCAAAAGGUCAAUGGUGCCAAUAAUCCAGUAACGUGAAAAACUCCAAAGGAUUUCUGAAGCAUCAGGAUUGACUGUGACCUGCUGCGAUCCUUCUGCCCCCAGUUGGUCCUGUAAUAAGAUCAGACAACUAAAUAGUGAGAACAGCCAAUAGACAGGAGAAAGCUUUAACUUUUAUUCUGUAAAUAUAUUUACAAAUUAAAAGUUACCUCUACUGGAAACAACUGGACAAAAUCUGAAUUACUGCUCUGUACUGAGGACAUCUCUGCCGUGGAAAAGUGCAGAUAACUGACCCAUUCAUGUAAGUUAAAUGACACAUAUAUCCAAGGACAGAAUGUGCUCAAGGCCUAAUUUCUAAAUUGAGCCUUAAAUAAUGAGCACCCUAGCAAGUUCCAAGUGAAUUGCACACCUGUAGAUUUCCCUGGGCCCAUCAGAUCAUUACCUACGUAGGGCUUAAGAAGAUACUGCCUGCAUUGCUCAACCAUAGUUAUAAUUUAUUUCCUGAGAAGCUUUUCAGAGGGGAAUGUAAGUCAUGGGUAUGUCCUGUUUCUUUUGUGUUCGCUUAUUGUUUGACUUGUUGCCAAAGCUAAAACUUAAAUGAAACAAGUAUUUAAA